CAGAUAUUUUUGUGUGGGCCCUAUGGCCGGCUAUGCUAUCAAGUCUUGUUCAUGUUUGGCAAGAAUGUAGGUAGACUAUAGUUUCAUCAUUAAUAUGGUGGAUCAAGUGAAGAGUGUGAGCUAGAGAACUUGGUGCUGCCAUCAUCAGCUCGUCGACAAUGACACUAUAACCGAGAAAUUUAAUAUGUAUAGAUCUACACGUAUUUAAAAUGUCUACUUCUCUGUACAGGAGCAAUGGCUAAUAUCCAGCUAUCCCAACAGUGCUCCUCUUGGCUAUACUAACGGACGAGACUGGACAGUUUGAGACACAGGACUGGAGUAUGACCUGCUCAUUCGAGCAUUGCUGGGUAGCUCAGAGACAUCAAGAGAAUCUACGUUUUCUCAAGCAAUGAGUUACGAGUUGGGGCCUAGAAUCAGAGAAGUCCAGCAGCCUGCUAAAUCUUUUUGAAACGUAAUUUGAAGGCAUUCAAUCAUCCUGAAGUUGCCCUGGGUCACUGUAAUUGUGCUGCAGCACAACUGGGAACUCCCCAGGCCUUUGUGAAGCAGCUCCCUAUGUGCAUCUUUUGUGUACUCACUCUGUGCAUUUUCUGUGUACAAAUUUCUAUUAUUGAUUUAUUAAA